rnacentral:tRNA from 1 species
GUCUGCAUGGCUCAGUUGGUUAGAGCGCCGGUCUCAUAAUCCGGAGAUCGCCAGUUCGAUCCUGGCUGUGGACA